rnacentral:rRNA from 1 species
CCCUUAGAUGUUCUGGGCCGCACGCGCGCUACACUGAUGCAUUCAACGAGUUUACGCCCUGGUCUGAUAGGGCUGGGUAAUCUUUUGAAAGUGCAUCGUGAUUGGGAUAGAUGAUUGCAAUUCUUCAUCUUCAACGAGGAAUGCCUAGUAAACGCAAGUCAUCAGCUUGCAUUGAUUACGUCCCUGCCCUUUGCACACACCGCCCGUCGCUCCUACCGAUUGAAUGAUCCGAUGAAUACCAUGGAUUGAGAGUACGAAUGGGUUCGCUCAUUUCUGCUGCUCGAGAAGUGGAGUAAAUCUUAUCAUUUAGAGGAAGGAGAAGUCGUAACA